rnacentral:lncRNA from 1 species
GCGAGGGUCACAGGCUCCCCCUAGAGGCCAUCGAAGAUUCGACAGGAAGAAAAGACAUGCGCAGAGACCAAGACAGAAGAAAACACAUUUCCUGAUCUGACUGCUGCAGUUGCAUAAAUUGUGGACAGCGUUUUCCCAAUCCGUAUAAUUUUAUCUUUAUUCUGACUUCAACCAUGUCCAGCAGCGUGUGGUCACCUCUGCCUUUCCCACAAUCCCUUGCUGUCAGCAGGCUCCUCCCUGGCAGCUCUAGGCUUCAUACUGGCAUGGGCUGUUCCCACUGACCUGCUGCAGGUCAGACUGGGACUGUCCAGGGGAGAGGAGGACAAUGCCACGGUUCUGGCCAGUCUCCACUUCUUCCCUGGUUGUGUUCCAAUUCCAAGACUUCAUCUAUUGGAAGCUCCAUGUGGCUCCCUGCUCAGACACCUCCACUUCCUUACUGGUUCCAAAGACCUGCCUGCAGAUCCUGAAGGGAAGAAAGGAGAGCAGCCUUGCCGGCAGCAGGGCCUUAUCUGUGUAUGAAGUCUAAGCAGCGGGAGAUCCUGAAAGCAUCUGCUUUCAGGCAAAGAAAAGAAGAGUCAAGACAGUCUAGCUGCCCAGAUCACACAAAAUGUUUCGAUCGUUUUGACUAUGAAGUAAUUCCUUCCAAGACACAGCAAGGUGAAGCACCUACAUUGCCUGGCUUUCCCAAGAGGAC